UGCCUUCAUUACCUCUGAGUCUGACCCCAUCCUCUUUUCGUUUUAUUUUUUGGCUUGGCGCUUUCCCAGUUCAAAGCGGCCUUGCUUAGGCACUAAUCCUUCCACGACGAAUCCCAAACCAUUUUAAAAAAAAAAAUCAAGAGACAUUUCUGCGGCGUCGUGCCUGACCGAUCCUCUUGUUCUUGUUUGUGAGACCAGGAAAGGUGGAGCGAAAGAGAGAGCGGGGAGGAAAUCUGCGUUGGCGCUGACGAACCAGGAUGCGCUGUGGUUCGUUGGCAGAUGGUGAGCUUAUGAUGUCAUUUAGGAUUAAACAUGUGUCUCAGCUGUGCUCAAGUGGGAGAACAAGAAAUCAGCCUUCACUGUAGUUAUUUGUCGCAACUCACAAGCAGAAAAUGCACCCAUAUUCACUUAAGAGUUCCAAGGGAGCACCAAUCCUGCCGCGACCGGUCUUCUUUUUCUUUGUUGCAUUAUGUGGAUUCUAUGUCUACUACCUCUCCUUCAAUCAGAUAACACUAGAAAACAGAAAAGAAGGGUAUAAUGGAGAAGAACAAAGGGCAAAUAUUUGCAGAAAGCCUUCUGUGCCAUAUGAGGAGCUCUGUUACGUGCACUUUCCAAAACCUACAAGUUAUAGCAGGGGAGAAUGCUCAUGUACUCCUGUUCGAUUCUUUGUAAUUGUGUCUAUGCAAAGAUCGGGAAGUGGAUGGUUUGAGACCUUGCUAUAUAGUCAUCCUAACAUUAGUUCUAACGGAGAAAUCUUUAACAGGGUGGAUAGAAGAGAAAAUAUAUCAUCCAUCUUACAAACACUUGAUAAACUUUAUAAUUUGGACUGGCUCACCAGUGCAGCGAAGAAUGACUGCACAGCUGCAUUUGGACUGAAAUGGAUGCUUAAUCAGGGAAUUUUGGAAAAUCAUGAUGAUAUAGUUAGUUAUUUGAACAAGAAGGGUGUCUCCAUAAUAUUUCUGUUCAGGAGAAACACAUUACGCCAGGUCAUAUCUGUGUUGGCCAAUGACUAUGACAAAGAUGCUAAGCAGUUGAAUGGAACUCACAAGUCUCAUGUUCACUCAAAAGAAGAGGCUGAGAUAUUAGCAAAAUUCAAACCAAAGCUGGAUACAUCGACUCUGAUCGCAAAUAUCAGAAACAUUGAGAAGGCCAUCAAAGAUUGCUUGGAUCACUUCAAGAGUACACGGCACAUGAUCCUCUAUUACGAGGAUAUAAUUGGCAAUAGCAAUGCACUUUCCCGGGUGCAGGAGUUUCUGAGAGUUCCGGUGAGGCCUCUGAUGAGCAGGCAGGUGAAAAUUCACACGAGGCCACUGCCAGACCUCAUCAAGAACUGGGAGGACGUGAGCAGCAAACUGAACGGCACAGAGUUUGCUCACUUGCUUGAUGGCUCAGAUUACGCCAAGUGAGAUACACACAUACUGAUGGUAGAAGCCGGUUAUACGUAUUUGGAGUUAUAGUUGCAAACAUGCUUAUGAGGCUAGUCUCAGUGGAGGUUUCAUGAGGAGUUUCAUAGACAUUAAAUAUCAUACCACAUCAGCAAAUUUGCUGACAUGAAAAAGGGUUUCGUCAUCACGAAACCCAUCUAGUGGCCUGAUUUUUUCUUUGUACAUAGGAAUUCGUAAAGAGCAAGGAAUAAAGAUCGGAGAUGAGUUGUAGAAAAUUUUCAUGUUUUGCCCUUUUUUUAAAGUUACGAUGACCACUCAGAUUGUUCAGAAUGUAGCUAAAACAGCUAGCAUUUUAUUAGAGCAAGGCUAAUGAUUUAGCCCGCUGCUAGCUGCAAGAAUCUUUGUAGCUCAUCUCUCAGUCCACUUGUACAGCAA